GAUGAACGCUGGCGGCGUGCUUAACACAUGCAAGUCGAACAAAGCACUUUAACCUGAUUCUUCGGAUGAAGGUUUUUGUGACUGAGUGGCGGACGGGUGAGUAACGCGUGGGUAACCUGCCUCAUACAGGGGGAUAACAGUUAGAAAUGACUGCUAAUACCGCAUAAGACCACAGAGCCGCAUGGCUCGGUGGGAAAAACUCCGGUGGUAUGAGAUGGACCCGCGUCUGAUUAGGUAGUUGGUGGGGUAACGGCCUACCAAGCCAACGAUCAGUAGCCGACCUGAGAGGGUGACCGGCCACAUUGGGACUGAGACACGGCCCAAACUCCUACGGGAGGCAGCAGUGGGGAAUAUUGCACAAUGGGGGAAACCCUGAUGCAGCGACGCCGCGUGAGCGAAGAAGUAUUUCGGUAUGUAAAGCUCUAUCAGCAGGGAAGAAAAUGACGGUACCUGACUAAGAAGCACCGGCUAAAUACGUG
rnacentral:rRNA from 1 species